CCUACGGGUGGCAGCAGUGGGGAAUAUUGGACAAUGGGCGAAAGCCUGAUCCAGCCAUGCCGCGUGUGUGAAGAAGGCCUUCGGGUUGUAAAGCACUUUCAGUGGGGAAGAAAGCCUUGGGGCUAAUACCCUCGAGGAAGGACAUCACCCACAGAAGAAGCACCGGCUAACUCCGUGCCAGCAGCCGCGGUAAUACGGAGGGUGCGAGCGUUAAUCGGAAUUACUGGGCGUAAAGCGCGCGUAGGCGGUCUGAUAAGCCGGUUGUGAAAGCCCCGGGCUCAACCUGGGAACGGCAUCCGGAACUGUCAGGCUAGAGUGCAGGAGAGGAAGGUAGAAUUCCCGGUGUAGCGGUGAAAUGCGUAGAGAUCGGGAGGAAUACCAGUUGCGAAGGCGGCCUUCUGGACUGACACUGACGCUGAGGUGCGAAAGCGUGGGUAGCAAACAGGAUUAGAUACCCGAGUAGUC
rnacentral:rRNA from 1 species